GGUCUGUUGGCCCAAUGGCAAGGCGUCUGACUACGACUCAUGAAAUACUCAUGAGAAUUUCGAAAUCAGGAGAUUGCAGGUUCGACCCCUGCACAGAUCA
rnacentral:tRNA from 1 species